GACGAACGCUGGCGGCGUGCUUAACACAUGCAAGUCGAACGGAAAGGCCCCUUUGGGGGUACUCGAGUGGCGAACGGGUGAGUAACACGUGAGUAACCUGCCCUUGACUUCGGGAUAACUUCAGGAAACUGGGGCUAAUACCGGAUAGGAAUCCUUGCUGCAUGGUGGGGGUUGGAAAGCUUCGGCGGUUUUGGAUGGACUCGCGGCUUAUCAGCUUGUUGGUGGGGUAGUGGCUUACCAAGGCUUUGACGGGUAGCCGGCCUGAGAGGGCGACCGGCCACAUUGGGGAUGGGAUAAGGCCCAGACUCCUACGGGAGGCAGGAGGGGGGAAUAUUGCACAAUGGGCGGAAGCCUGAUGCAGCAACGCCGCGGGCGGGAUGACGGCCUUCGGGUUGUAAACCGCUUUCAGCAGGGGCGAAGCUUGUGGUGACGGUACUUGCAGAAGAAGCACCGGCUAACUACGUG
rnacentral:rRNA from 1 species